CUGAAUCAAAGAGCUUGAUGAUGGGGUUAAGGGUCACUCAGUACUGCAUCUUUGUUCUCAUGUUAACACAAGGUGUCCGCAGUGAUGAGAUCAGACUGGACCAGUCUCCUGCUGUGGUCAAGAGACCUGGAGAGCCUGUGAAGAUCUCUUGUAAGAUAAAUGGCUUUGAUAUGACUGACAACUACAUGCACUGGAUACGACAGAAACCAGGGAAAGCUCUGGAAUGGAUUGGGAGGAUGAAUACAGGCAGUAAUGAAGCAACAUAUGCAGAGUCUGUGAAGAACCAGUUCACCAUGACAGAAGACGUCCCAGCAAGCACACAGUAUUUAGAGGCCAAGAGUCUGAGGACAGAGGACACUGCGAUUUAUUACUGUGCCCGAGAAGCCACAGUGACUGGAGCUGAGGAAGCAGCUGUACAAAAACCAGAUACAUAUUGUAACUGA